rnacentral:tRNA from 1 species
GGGGCGGUAGCUCAGCCUGGGAGAGCACACGGCUGAAGACCGUGGUGUCGUGGGUUCAAAUCCCACCCGCCCCA